CUUAUAAUGAAAGAUUUAGAAUUUGCAUUUUUUUCACAUUUUAUCAGUUUCCAUGGUAACGGUGGCCAUUUUGAAUAUUCCAAAGUCAAACCCCCCCCCCUGCAAUAUGUUCCCUCCAUAAUCAUAUGCCAUCAUAUAUCAUUUGAUGUCUCUAGAAUAAAUUUAACAUUGAUGUUAAGUUUGAAGCAUUUUGAAAUUUUGGACAAUUUGCUGUUCCAUGGUAACGGUGGCCAUUUUGAAAAUUCCAAACUCAAAAGUCAGGUCUACAUAAGCUAGGCAACAUUUGUUAUAAGUUUCAUUAAAUUUAAAGCAUUUUGAAAUUUUUCAUAUUUUUGCUGUUUCCAUGGUAACGGCGGCCAUUUUGAAUAUUCCAAAGUCAAACCCCCGCUGCAAUUUUUUCCCUCCAUAAUCAUAUACCAUUUAAUGUCUCUAGAAUAAAUUUAACAUUGAUGUUCUGGAAUGUUCUGUGAAAAUUCAAAGUUUUGACCUUUUUGCAUUGUUUCCAUGGUAACAACAGAUAUUUUGGAAAUUCCAACGCCAAAUUCCACAUCUUCCAAUGUUGCUCAUCGUUACUGUGAAGUUUCAUGAAGUUUGGAGCAUUUUGAGAUUUUUGAAAUUUUUGGUGUAGUUUCCAUGGCAACAUAGUAGUUCCAAUGAGUGCCAAAAUCAUCCAACACCUGUAUAUAGUGGGCACCUACAUUGUAUUAAAAUAUAAUGAUUCUGAGUUAAAGCAUAUCCAAACAGUUCACCAAA
rnacentral:lncRNA from 1 species